CAUUUUCUUUGUGCUUUUGGUAAGGACGGAUCUGGCGCUUUGGAUACUAAAUAGGCAACUAAUUCAAUUGGUGCUUUCUCCGAGGGUCUCCUUGCAAACCGGUGCCAGACUCACUGGUCCUUUGUGUACUGCCCGCCCUGCAUGUGUCUGGGCUCCCCUGGCCAGUCCGUUUUUUUGUCUCUGAUGGUUAAUAAGCUUUGAGCCUAGUAGUCAAAUGUGGUGGGAACGGGGACAAGACGAGGGUCCUUAGUGAAGGUGUUUGUUGUUAAAUAGAACAAUUCAGCUGUCUCUUUAGAAAACUUGACAAAAGGAAAUGCUCCCUGCUGAAAAUUUUCUUAGCCUGUUGCACAAAAGAUGAAGUUUGUUUAAGAAAUUGCUGCUAAAGAAAGCGUCAACCCAUUAAGGUAACAUGGAAGCAAAUAUUCUCAGAAACCAACAGAGAAAUUGAGCUGAUUCGGACACUAGAAGAGCCAGCUACCUUCUGUUUUAUUUUAGCUUUGUUGUUUCAUCUUCGUCAUAUCGUAUCCAAGUAAAAUUGGAGGAAAAUGUCAGAAGAAGCUUACAGGUCCUGGCUAUGGAGGAGGGUUCCAUUCUUACCUGUUGCUCUACAAUGUACAGCUGAUGUUUUACAAUAAAAACAUGGAGUCAUGCUAACUCCCACAUGCCCUACCAUUCACUCUCCCCAAGCCAGUAACAAAGCAGGCAACGCAGCUAAUAUAAUAUUUAGACUAACCGUGAAGAAAAAGAUCUUUCUCCCUUCUGUACUCUGAAUAAAUAAAUUAGUCUGACCAAAUGAAGAAA
ensembl:lncRNA novel transcript